rnacentral:rRNA from 1 species
UACGUAGGUGGCAAGCGUUGUCCGGAAUUAUUGGGCGUAAGCGCGCGCAGGCGGUCCCUUAAGUCUGAUGUGAAAGCCCACGGCUCAACCGUGGAGGGUCAUUGGAAACUGGGGGACUUGAGUACAGAAGAGGAAAGCGGAAUUCCACGUGUAGCGGUGAAAUGCGUAGAGAUGUGGAGGAACACCAGUGGCGAAGGCGGCUUUCUGGUCUGUAACUGACGCUGAGGCGCGAAAGCGUGGGGAGCAAACAGG